UAGUUAUCAGCUAAUAACUUCUCAGCAUUUGUAAGUCAAUUUGCUGAAUUGCCUAGAAAUUCUCAGUUUCAUGCAGAAAUUAAUGUGUGACUUUGUAUAACACAUACAAUUUUAGCCUUUAAUGUAGCAAACUCUCUAUAUUUUCAACAUUGCUGAAGUAACUCACAUUCUUAGUUGUUUUAUUGAAUUUCUGGAUAAAGUUUUCCUGAUUGUCUGCAUGCCUGUAGUCAGUUCAAUGCUUUUGAGUAGAUCACCUGUAAUGAAAAAAAGAUGUGUUUUAUUUAUUCUAAUAUUAUGUAUUGAUACAGUUAAGUGCUUUUGGAGGUGUUUUCUAUGGAACCUUUUUAUGACGUUUGCAGUCAUUGGUGCCCAGUUAUCUGCUGAGAUUAGAGAGGGGAUUUAUUUACAAUUUUUAAAAAUGUACUUUAAAAAAAUCAUUGUUCAUCUGAGUGGUGUGCAUUGAGCUUUCAAUGUGCUUUCAUGUCUCACUUGCGGAAUUUUAGCCUUGUUCUUGAACGUAAUGGCACUGCUGAAAAGCUGUAGGGCUUCAUUGUCUUCUGAGGCUGAUACAAUCUGUGUACUCAAAGUGUGAUAAAGUUCAUGAUGAUGUGGUUAAGAUGUUAUUUUCUGCACACUUCUAGAAAGAGAGCUGUCUCCAAAAAUGAGAAAAAGAAAAAUGGCAAGCAGAUAAACCAAAGGAAGAGCUGUUUUCAGCUAAAGAUCCUCUCUGGGAUUUUAGGAAUGUUGAGACGUGCUGGUUAUAAAGCCCUAAGUACAAAAUGGUCACGGAUGGCUGGAAUGAGGCAUGUUCUAAUGGAAACAAAUCACUUGUCAGUAAGCAGCCUUCAAACUUUUGAACAAAAGCUCAAAAGGGUCAGGGAAAAGACAUUGUUUGUUGAUUUAAAAUGGCUGGAUGCAGGUCAUGAGGAAGGCAUAGACUUCAAUAUUGUUGAGGUAACUGUGAGUUUUAAACAAGGUUAAAUACUUUGAUGGCAACCACAAAUGGAAUGAGGAACUUAAAUUAAACAGAAAGCUCACACAUUAUAGAGUGAAGUGUGCAUAAUACUAAAAUGUAAAGCACGUAUACCAGUGCAAAACGGCCACAGAAUUGAGCUCAGCUGUGGGAACUUUAUUUAGUUAUGUAGACAUGACUGUGAGGAAGACUGUGCUGUAUCUACUGAAAUUUAGAAGGGUGACCAGUAUUCCUGUAGGUGCCUGUGAUUCAUUGAUAUUUUAGUUAGUUAAAAUAGUGUAGCCUAGCCUUAUGGUGAGUUGAUGAUAAAUCCAAAUCCCAGUUCUGUUUAUUCACCUUUCUGUAGGUUUUAACUCUAAGUGAAAUUUUUCAAUGCAGGAGUUAAUCUUUUUAUAUUUGCUUGCAAAACCCAUAAUGAGGUUCAUGACCCCUAGAACAACUAUAAUGAGGGAUCAGCUCUUCUUUUUCCUGUGUAAUAUUUUGUGUUGCUCUCUGAAAUGAAAAAUGUUAGUGUAUAAUAAAUUGAAUAAGGUGGAUGAAUUACA
rnacentral:lncRNA from 1 species